UGGAAUAAUUACAUAUGUACGAUAAUUUUACCAGAAGUACAAUAAUUUCAACCUGUGUAGUACGAUAAUAUGGCCAAGACAAUCUGGCAACGCUGAGUCUGCUGCCUGACAAAAUAACCAGUCAGUGUGUCGCGUCUAUAGGUGGUGUUAGUAAGCGUCUGUUUCAACUCCCAGCCUGACAGAAUUUUUUAUUUUUUUUUUUGUUUGUUUGUUUUUCUUUGUGUAACCACGCCUACACAGUGGCUGCCAAGGCUUACCCAUGAGUUAAACCUUCUUUAGUUGGUAAUGAGGAAGGCCUGGGCUCUAGCAGUGGACACCCGAAGGCAGCAGUGGGUGAAAACAAGCAAAAUUAAGAAAAGUUUGGCUGUGAGAAGGUGCUAGACAGCCAGCCAUAGUGACGAGGAGGCACCACCACCAUCACCACCACAGGGAAGGCCAAGUACCAAGUCAAAUCAAUAUACUGAGGCACUUCAGUUUGGUACUUUAAAGGGACCUGUACUGGAAGUUGUGUAACAUUAAGUCAAUGUCCUAUAGUAUUAUUCAUCUGCAGGUUUGUUUGUAUCUUAAAUGUCAUUAUUCAUUCCAGGUGACAUGUAUAACACCAAAGUCAUUAGCCGUGUCUUUCAAAGAACAUAAACUUUGUUUCUUCCAGUUCUCUUGCUUUUCAUGUGUCUGCUUCUUAGUAGUUGCAUGUCAGACAUAAAAUAUAGUAAAGAACUUUUGUGCACUUUUUUAUAAUUUGUGAGUAUUUAAGGUACAUCAAUUUCCAAUGAAAACUGAGCUGGAAAUAAUCUAACAUUUGCUAUGGCAAAUUAGUAAAUAAAUGCAUCAUUCUGCACACCAAAAGUGCUGCAAAGCCACUUAUGAACCAAAGAUGCACCAGUUUGUGAUGCAUGCACAUUCAGAACUUACACUAUUAUUCAUAUCGUGACUUGGUACUUCCACAAAAAUUUAUUUCUUGCCAUGGUCAUCCAUGACACUGCUAUGGACAACAAAGCAGAGUUGGUUAAUAUUAAGGUUUUGAUACACUUUUACCACUGUAAAAUCUCACUGAUUAUCCACUGAUUAAUUUUCAAAAAGGCCACAUGCAAAUCCAUAUUCAUUUACUUUCCUGAACAUGGUGCUAUCACCCAUCAUAUGCCAUGCACUAACACUAUCACAGUAGGUUUUACAGAAAAAAAUAAAAUAAAUAAAUAAAUAAAUAAAAUAAAUUAAUUAAAUUUUAAAAAAUUCACAAAUUUCAUCUUCAGAAUUUUAAAAGCAAACAAACAUUUCAGAAGUUCUGAAACUCUUAUCACUUAUAAUAAUAUGAAAAAGUUCUUACUCUGUGUGUGAGUCCUUAGCAUGUCACAAAACUCCAGUUUCUAUAUAUGAAGUCUAAAUCUCUUGCCUCCAAGCUCCCUAAUCCUUAUGCUGAUAGUAUCCUGUCUCUUCUAGCAAUUAGGGUUGGUGUCCUCUACCACACCAUAUGCCAUCUUUUGCAUUCCUUUCUAUAUUUUAUGUAAGCUAAUAAACAUUUACCCUUGUUCAUUUUUCUUAUGCUCAAAGAAAUUAUGAGAUUCACAGGCUUGAUUCUCAGAGGUGAAUGUCCUUCUGUGAAUAAAUGGCAGAUGACUUUCAGCUCUGCUCAACUACUGGCAAGUCCAGUUUUCUGGGGCACUCAGAACUGCCUAGGUGGUAGGAUACACUUGACACUGAGAUCCCUCAGCCCAGCCAGCCAAUGAGGACUGAUUGUUGAUAGUGUAAGCACAACAUAAAUCCCUAUUAUCUAGACUUGCUUAGGUCACCAUCAUCAUAAUAUAUUUACUAGCUAUCCUCCUGUAAUGCAAUUGGCUGCUGCCCUGUGGAAUUCUAUCACAGCCAUCCUCUUGGGGUCAGAUAUAGAUGGACACAAGUGUCAGGUUGAGACAGAUCCACCUAAAGAGCAGCCUAAUACUACAAUAUGAUAAAUGUCAGUUCAUAUCACUGAUUCCUUGUUCUUUUUAAUAAAUUCCUGCAACAGAAAGACAUCAACUUCUUUGCAUUUACACACAAACUAUGUAGCCUCAUGAAGCUUAAAUUUUCCACACAUCCCCUCAAAGUCUCAAAAUCACUUACUUUACUUGGUAUUUUCAAACUGCACACUAUUUUAUUUUUCCAAUAAAAUAGAAAUAAAAGAAACUUAAAUGUGAUUCCAAAACCAUGGAAAUAAUUUCCAGAACAAAUAUACAAAGACAUCAGAACAUGUAUGAGUUCUCAGCUUUUUGACUGUGACAUUUAUGACACUAAAGUAAGUUAUUCUGCCAUCACAAGAAAAAAUCUGCACACAGCUACAUAUUUACAAAAGAACACAAUGUCUGCUAUGGGUCACACACUCUGAAACAAUAAACAGUAACUUGAAACAAAAUAAAUAGAAAUAAGAAAUUAAUUAAAAAUUACUUAACUUGAAAUUUAAAAGAAAUUUAUGUAUACAGUUAACCCUCGAUACAGCUAAGCCCAAUAUAACAUACUGGAUACCAUAAAUGCUUAGAUCUCAUUGAGCAAGCCUUGCAUUUACCAUACUCUUUAUCAUUAUAAGUGGCAAAAAUAAGGAGCUUUGAAGCCCCCCCCAAAUAACCAUCACAUACUGGAAAUUGAUUUUUGCAAAGAGAGGCAAAAACUAGUAACGAAUAUUUAAAUAAGUAUCAACAAACAACUACCUUUACAUAAUGACCUGAGUUCACAAAAAGAACUCAUUGUAACAACCAAUGGAAAGAGCAAAUUUUCAGAUAUUAUGAACUGGCCUUCCCCAUAACAUUUCAUUAUAUUGAGGGUUUACUGUACUAUUUUACAAUAACUAUAAUGAUGUUUAUUAUAAAAAGAAACAAAAAUGUAUUCUAAAAGAUAAUUCAAGAAAGCCACGAUAAAGUCUCACUAAUACAGUAAGUGUAGCAUGUGUAUGAGUUGGAUAAAAUCUUGGCUAAAGAUCAUUUUCAUUAUUGUAGUCACCACAUUUUAAGGUAGAAAAUUAUAUCUCACUGUUUCUAUGUUUCAAAUAUUAAAUUUUGUACCACUCCUAAGGUAAUAAAAGAAAUUCCAUCAGUA